AGAUUAUCAAAAAUGGAUAACUAUACAACACUUGUGCUUUGAUCAACUUUGGCCUUGAGCUUUCUUUAUAUUAUUAUAGCAAAAAUAUGUAGUAUUAGAAGCAUCAAAAAACUUCCACCAGGGCCAUCACCAUGGCCAAUUAUUGGAAAUUUUCAUUUGUUAGGUACAAAACCUCAUAGAUCACUAGUUAAUCUUGCACAAAUAUAUGGUCCAAUUAUGAGUUUGAAAAUAGGACAAAAGACAAUAGUUGUCAUUUCUUCAUCAACCAUGGCAAAACAAGUCCUUCAAAAGCAAGACUUAGCCUUUUCCAAAUUUUCUGUGGUAUGUCUUCCUGUUUGUCCUCAAUGGCGAACGCUUAGGAAAAUCUUGAACGAGAGUGUCUUCUCUUCCAAUAAGCUUGAUGCAAAUGAACAUCUAAGGUCUCAAAAAGUGAAAGAGUUGAUUGCUUAUUGUGCAAAAUGUAGUCAACAAGGUAAAGCUUUGGAUAUAUGUCAAGCUGUUUUCAAGACUAAUUUCAAUGUGAUGUGCAGCACCCUUUUCUCCAAGGACUUGGCUGACCCUUUUUCGGAUUCAAAGGUUGAGUUGAAGGAUAUGAUAUGGGGUGUCAUGAAUGAGGCUGCGAAGAUUAACCUAGCAGAUUAUUUCCCUAUACUUGAAAAGAUUGAUCUUCAAAGAAUAAGGUAUCAUGCAAAUUACCAUUUUGGUAAGUUGUUUAAAUUUUUAGAUGAUUUGAUCGAUGAACGAUUAGAGGAAAAACAAAGGAGCCAUGGUGAAAAGAAUGAUGUUUUGGAAGUAUUACUCAACUUCAGUGCAGAAAAUCCCAAAGAGAUGGAUCAAAAUCAUAUAAAAUCAAUGCUCCUGGACUUAUUUGCUGGUGGUACUGAUUCACCAGUAACCAUAUUAGAAUGGGCCAUGUCAGAAUUAGUUAGACAACCAGAAAUUAUGAAGAAAGUCCAACUUGAGCUUGGAGAAGUCAUUGGAAAAGGGAAACAAGUAGAAGAAUCAAAUAUUCCUAAACUCCCUUACUUGCAAUUCAUUGUCAAAGAAACCUUAAGAAUGCACCCACCAACUCCAUUUUUAAUACCCCGAAAAGUCGUCGAGCAAGAUGUUGAAUUGUGCAACUACAUCAUCCCAAAGGACUCAUUGAUUCUAGUUAAUGUAUGGGCGAUUGGUCGAGAUCCUACUUUUUGGAAGGACCCUUUGGUAUUUAGACCUGAGAGAUUCCAAAAUUUAGAAGUGGAUGUGCGAGGACAAGAUUUUGAAUUGAUUCCUUUUGGUGCUGGCCGAAGAAUAUGUCCUGGUUUACCAUUGGCAAUGAGAUUAGUCCAAACAAUGUUGGGUUCACUCUUGAAUUCCUUCAAGUUGAAACUUGAAGGAGACAUUGAGCCAAAAGACUUAGACAUGGAGGAAACAUUUAGUUUCAUCUCAUCCAAAGCUCAUCCUUUGCGAGUUAUCCCAUCUCCUCUUUGAUAUUUACACCAAAUCAUAUAUUUGGCAUACAAUGUUGGUAUAAUGUAAUAAUUGAGAUUUA